UGUACUUUCACCUAUUCUUUUUAAUAUCAUAAUGUAUAUAAUUAUAAAUGAAGCUCGGGAGCUGCGAGUUUAAUGGAUCUGAGCUUAAAUGCAAAAUUACAUCUAGAAAAUAGGAUAAUAUCAUAUGCAGAUGACAUCGCUAUUGUGUCUUUAAGCAUCAAAGAAACGGAAAAUCUGUUAUACCUGCUAGAAAAUUUAAGUCUAAAAAUGGGUUUAAAAAUAAAUUUUAACAAAACAGUCAUUCUUCCUUCCCCUAGUGCAGUCCAGAAUCCAAAUAUCAUAAUUAGUGGUAAUAUUAUUAAGAUAGUAGAUAAAAUUAAAUACUUAGGCAUAUUGUUAGACAACAAAGGCUGCUGUAAAGAAGAAUUGAAAAUUAGAAUACAAAAAUCGAGAGGGGCGUUUUAUAAAUAUAUGAAAAUUUGGAAAACGAAAGAGAUUUCUGUAUACACCAGAUUAAGAAUUUUCAAUUCUAUUAUAAUUCCUAUAUUACUAUUUGGCGGAGAUUUAUGGGAAAUUAAUAAAACAGAAAAUAGAAGAUUACAAUCCUUCAUAAAUAACUGCCUCCAUACUAUAAAUGGUAUCUUCUACCCAAAAGUAAUAUCUAAUAAUAAUUUAUGGAGAAUAUCAAAACAUAUUCCAAUUCAUAUUACAUUAAAAAAACGCCGCAUUCAAUUCCUAGCUCACAUUAUAAGGAACUCAGAUCAAAAUCUAGUUCAUGAUGCUAUUACAUGACUCUACACUCAUAAUAGGAAAGAAUACACAAAAUAUAAAUCCUUAUGGUAUUAUAAAACCAUAAAAGAUAUUAUGGAACUAAAUUUAAACAUGAAACAAUUUAUCAAGUUAAAUAACUGCAAAAAUUCCAUAAAGAAGCUUUUCAAAAUCAAACACAAAUAUUUUAAAUAAAAAAAUCUAGGCUUAUUUUUAUAAUGAACAUGUAUUUUCCAGCAGGACAUCAGGACAAACCAAAAUGAAAUUGGAAACAAAUUAAUUGCAAUUUGGCCUCUUGGGAUCAAAAAUCAACUCAACAAUUUGAAGAAAAAAUACCAGUCAUUCUGGUGAAUUUAAAAAGAAGCAGCUAUUGAACAUGGAACCAAUGGUAUUUUAGCUGAACUCAAACUAGGGGGGGGGUACAAGGGUUCUAGACAGAAUUGUUAAAAAAUGAGUGAUAUACGAUUUAUAGGAGAUUGGUAAUGAAAAGACUGGAGAAGUUGCUCAGUGGAUCCUACAUUAAAAUUUAAGACGGUAUAUAAAUUUAUUCUAGAAUAAAUCUUUAAAUGUCAAUCUAUAUGCAAAAAUA